GACGAACGCUGGCGGCGUGCUUAACACAUGCAAGUCGAACGGAAAGGCCCUGCUUUUGUGGGGUGCUCGAGUGGCGAACGGGUGAGUAACACGUGAGUAACCUGCCCUUGACUUUGGGAUAACUUCAGGAAACUGGGGCUAAUACCGGAUAGGAGCUCCUGCUGCAUGGUGGGGGUUGGAAAGUUUCGGCGGUUGGGGAUGGACUCGCGGCUUAUCAGCUUGUUGGUGGGGUAGUGGCUUACCAAGGCUUUGACGGGUAGCCGGCCUGGGAGGGUGACCGGCCAAAAUGGGGCUGAGGUAGGGGCCAGACUCCUACGGGAGGCAGCAGUGGGGAAUAUUGCACAAUGGGCGGAAGCCUGAUGCAGCAACGCCGCGUGCGGGAUGACGGCCUUCGGGUUGUAAACCGCUUUCGCCUGUGACGAAGCGUGAGUGACGGUAAUGGGUAAAGAAGCACCGGCUAACUACGUG
rnacentral:rRNA from 1 species